rnacentral:rRNA from 1 species
AUGAGUCCUUCCACAGUGACACUCACGAGAAGCCUUUGUGGCCCCGCAAGGGGCACCCGCCGCGACUGUAAAGAAUGGAUGUGGGUGUUAAAUCGCAAGUCGGCCUCGCUUGGUCGAGCCGGCCACACUUUCGAAUUGCGGGAACGUCCUAAUGCCUGACCACACCAAACCCAACCGGAAACGGGUGAGUGGCUCGUGCUAGACACACGAGGUACGGUAACAGUUGGUUCAGGAUUAGCAGUCAUGCUAAAUGGGCAAUCCGCAGCCGAGUCCCUAAGGCCUUCUUGUGGCUAUGGGAAAGGUCCACAGACUAAGUGGAAGUGGGCUAGAGGUUUGAACUUCUGGCUUAAGAUAUAGUCGGGCCCUGCUGGAAACAGCCGGGGAGUCACUUGUAACCAAGUAACAAACUGUUCCGUAGGUGAACCUGCGGAAGGAUCAUUAACAAUCCUAACCGAUUCUUUGCACCGGUCCGCCGGUCAAAGUCUUAAACCCUUUGUGAAAACAAAUGACCAUUUGCUUCGGCAGCUGGUUGGGUUUCCUGACCGUUUCUCAACCGUCAGCCUGCCGGCGGCACCAAACCAAACUUGUUAUUUCUGUACAGUCUGAAAAACAUUUUUUGAAUGAAAUCAAAACUUUCAACAACGGAUCUCUUGGUUCUCGCAUCGAUGAAGAACGCAGCGAAACGCGAUAGUUAAUGUGAAUUGCAGAAUUCAGUGAAUCAUCGAGUCUUUGAACGCACAUUGCGCCCAUUGGUAUUCCGAUGGGCACGUCUGUUUGAGCGUCAUUACAAUCCUUCGGUCUGGAUCUUUACCAAUCCCGACCGGUUGUGAGUUCCGGCCCUCACCGGCCGGGCUUUAAAGUGGCACGCUCUGCGGGUGACCCAACCUGAACGAACAUAGUAGAAUCCAUUCAACCUGUUCGACUAAGGGAUGGUCAGCUCCGCCUGAACAAGAACCUAAAUUUUCUAAGGUUUGACCUCAGAUCAGACGAGGAUACCCGCUGAACUUAAGCAUAUCAAUAAGCGGAGGAAAAGAAACCAACAGGGAUUGCCUCAGUAACGGCGAGUGAAGCGGCAACAGCUCAAAUUUGAAAUCUGAAGUCUUCGGCUUCCGAGUUGUAAUUUGUAGAGGAUGCUUCGGUUGUGGCCCCGGCCUAAGUUCCUUGGAACAGGACGUCGCAGAGGGUGAGAAUCCCGUACGCGGCUGGCGGCUUACUUCCAUGUGUAGCUCCUUCGAAGAGUCGAGUUGUUUGGGAAUGCAGCUCAAAAUGGGUGGUAAAUUUCAUCUAAAGCUAAAUACUGGCGAGAGACCGAUAGCGCACAAGUAGAGUGAUCGAAAGAUGAAAAGCACUUUGAAAAGAGAGUUAAACAGUACGUGAAAUUGUUGAAAGGGAAGCGCUUGCAAUCAGACUUGCUUUCGGUUGAUCAACGUUCCUUCUGGUUCGUGCACUCUGCCGUUUUGCAGGCCAGCAUCGGUUGAGACGGUGGGACAAAGACUCUGGGAAUGUGGCUCCUCUCGGGGAGUGUUAUAGCCCAGUGUGCAAUGCCAUCAGACUCGACCGAGGUCCGCGCUUUUGCUAGGAUGCUGGCUUAAUGGUUGUAAGCGACCCGUCUUGAAACACGGACCAAGGAGUCUAACAUCUAUGCGAGUGUUUGGGUGUCAAACCCAUGCGCGUAAUGAAAGUGAACGGAGGUGGGAGUCUUCGGAUGCACCAUCGACCGAUCCUGAUGUUCUCGGAUGGAUUUGAGUAGGAGCAUAGCUGUUGGGACCCGAAAGAUGGUGAACUAUGCCUGAAUAGGGUGAAGCCAGAGGAAACUCUGGUGGAGGCUCGCAGCGGUUCUGACGUGCAAAUCGAUCGUCAAAUUUGGGUAUAGGGGCGAAAGACUAAUC